UACAGAGGGUGCAAGCGUUGUCCGGAAUCACUGGGCGUAAAGGGCGCGUAGGCGGCCUGAUAAGUCGGGGGGUGAAAUUCUGCGGCUUAACCGCAGGACGGCCUUCGAGACUGUCGGGCUUGAGCACGGUAGAGGCUGGUGGAAUUCCCCGGUGUAGCGGUGGAAUGCGUAGAGAUCGGGAAGAACAUCGGUGGCGAAGGCGGCCAGCUGGGCCGU
rnacentral:rRNA from 1 species